CCUCUCCACGCCUGCUUUCCUGGUUUGCUGUCUGUCUUCUGAGUCAUGGGAUCCAGGCAAGCCAGAAAACAGGGUGGAAUUUCCCUCUCCCCUGUCCACUGCUCCCACAUCUGAGCCUAAGGAUUUGAUGUCUUGGCACCUCUUCAGCGAGUCCAUGUCUGACCAUCCCCACUGCUACCACCUCGGCCUCAUCUCCAAGAUCCGAGUGGGACCGUGGCAGAAACAUGGCUGCUGAGGCACCAGCGAGUAGCCCUGGAGCUCUUCCUUGUCCACCCGUCAGGGGGCGUCUCAGCUGGCAACGAGAAAGAACGAGAUGGAAGCGUGAUGCAGGUGGAGGCUGCGAGUCUGUGUGCAUCUCCUCUCGGCUCCUCCUCCCGAAGACGACCCGGUACCAUCGUGAGGGGCGGUCCGUCUCCGGAGACCAUUUCUGAUCACUGCAGCCAAGAUUCCCUGGAGAAGGCCAUUCUGCUGACCACUAUACCCCCAAUGCCUUGGUCAGUUAGGACUCUCUGGGGAAGACAGCACCAUAAAGAGCAAGACCAGACCAGGUGAGCACGAGGGCUUAGGGGCAAGAUUUUCACGUAGGUUGGAUCUAGCCCCCUGCUGGGAAGGUUGUGGAAAUAGCAUUUGCAUAGCUAGACUGCUGGUGAGGGCUGCUGUGCGAGCAGAGCAGAACACAGAGGAGGGGACUCCCGCACCUUGCCAGUCUUCAUAAAAGGUAGCUGUGGGGGCUGGCGCAGUGGUGUAGGGAGUAAAGCCGCCGCCUGCCGUGCCGGCAUCCCAUAUGGGCAUCGGUACAUGUCCCAGCUGCUCCUCUUCCGAUCCAGCUCUCUGCUAUGGCCUGGGAAAGCAGUGGAAGAUGGCCCAAGUCCUUGGGCCCCUGCACCCAUGUGGGAGACCCAGAAGAAGCUCCUGGUUCCUGGCCUCAAAUCUGCACAGCUCCGGGUGUUGCGAUCAUUUGGGGAGUGAAACAGCGGUGGAACCUUUCUCUGUUUCUCCCUCUCUAUCUAUAACUCUACUUCUCAAAUACAUAAAUAAAGGUAGCUGUGGUGAUUGAGAAUGUGGGGCUUUAA